GAUGAACGCUGGCGGCGUGCCUAAUACAUGCAAGUCGAGCGAACAGACGAGGAGCUUGCUCCUCUGACGUUAGCGGCGGACGGGUGAGUAACACGUGGAUAACCUACCUAUAAGACUGGGAUAACUUCGGGAAACCGGAGCUAAUACCGGAUAAUAUAUUGAACCGCAUGGUUCAAUAGUGAAAGACGGUUUUGCUGUCCCUUAUAGAUGGAUCCGCGCCGCAUUAGCUAGUUGGUAAGGUAACGGCUUACCAAGGCAACGAUGCGUAGCCGACCUGAGAGGAUGAUCAGCCACACUGGAACUGAGACACGGUCCAGACUCCUACGGGAGGCAGCAGUAGGGAAUCUUCCGCAAUGGGCGAAAGCCUGACGGAGCAACGCCGCGUGAGUGAUGAAGGUCUUCGGAUCGUAAAACUCUGUUAUUAGGGAAGAACAAAUGUGUAAGUAACUAUGCACGUCUUGACGGUACCUAAUCAGAAAGCCACGGCUAACUACGUG
rnacentral:rRNA from 1 species